AGGCUUAACACAUGCAAGUCGAGGGGCAGCACAGGUAGCAAUACCGGGUGGCGACCGGCGCACGGGUGAGUAACGCGUAUGCAACUUACCUAUCAGAGGGGGAUAACCCGGCGAAAGUCGGACUAAUACCGCAUGAAGCAGGGGCCCCGCAUGGGGAUAUUUGCUAAAGAUUCAUCGCUGAUAGAUAGGCAUGCGUUCCAUUAGGCAGUUGGCGGGGUAACGGCCCACCAAACCGACGAUGGAUAGGGGUUCUGAGAGGAAGGUCCCCCACAUUGGUACUGAGACACGGACCAAACUCCUACGGGAGGCAGCAGUGAGGAACAUUGGUCAAUGGCCGAGAGGCUGAACCAGCCAAGUCGCGUGAGGGAUGAAGGUUCUAUGGAUCGUAAACCUCUUUUAUAAGGGAAUAAAGUGCGGGACGUGUCCCGUUUUGUAUGUACCUUAUGAAUAAGGAUCGGCUAACUCCGUGCCAGCAGCCGCGGUAAUACGGAGGAUCCGAGCGUUAUCCGGAUUUAUUGGGUUUAAAGGGUGCGUAGGCGGCCUUUUAAGUCAGCGGUGAAAGUCUGUGGCUCAACCAUAGAAUUGCCGUUGAAACUGGGGGGCUUGAGUAUGUUUGAGGCAGGCGGAAUGCGUGGUGUAGCGGUGAAAUGCAUAGAUAUCACGCAGAACCCCGAUUGCGAAGGCAGCCUGCCAAGCCAUGACUGACGCUGAUGCACGAAAGCGUGGGGAUCAAACAGGAUUAGAUACCCUGGUAGUCCACGCAGUAAACGAUGAUCACUAGCUGUUUGCGAUACACAGUAAGCGGCACAGCGAAAGCGUUAAGUGAUCCACCUGGGGAGUACGCCGGCAACGGUGAAACUCAAAGGAAUUGACGGGGGCCCGCACAAGCGGAGGAACAUGUGGUUUAAUUCGAUGAUACGCGAGGAACCUUACCCGGGUUUGAACGCAUUCGGACCGAGGUGGAAACACCUUUUCUAGCAAUAGCCGUUUGCGAGGUGCUGCAUGGUUGUCGUCAGCUCGUGCCGUGAGGUGUCGGCUUAAGUGCCAUAACGAGCGCAACCCUUGCCACUAGUUACUAACAGGUGAUGCUGAGGACUCUGGUGGGACUGCCAGCGUAAGCUGCGAGGAAGGCGGGGAUGACGUCAAAUCAGCACGGCCCUUACAUCCGGGGCGACACACGUGUUACAAUGGCGUGGACAAAGGGAGGCCACCUGGCGACAGGGAGCGAAUCCCCAAACCACGUCUCAGUUCGGAUCGGAGUCUGCAACCCGACUCCGUGAAGCUGGAUUCGCUAGUAAUCGCGCAUCAGCCAUGGCGCGGUGAAUACGUUCCCGGGCCUUGUACACACCGCCCGUCAAGCCAUGGGAGCCGGGGGUACCUGAAGUCCGUAACCGCGAGGAUCGGCCUAGGGUAAAACUGGUGACUGGGGCUAAGA
rnacentral:rRNA from 1 species